CAGCUGGAGUCUACAGAACACAGUGGGGAGCAAAGUCAACCUGGAAACCUCCCUAUGCACACUGAGGAUCCACUGGAGCCCAUCUUGAAUCCAGCAAAUGUGGGAAUAGGAAAAUUCAAAGAAAAAAAUACAAAGCAAAACAAAAAAUCCAACCCAAACAGAAGCAGAAGUGCUAGAGAGCCAAGUGGAGCGCGUGGAGUAAUAGGAGCUUGUGUGAGCUGGACUUGGGAACUGGCCAGUCCUGAGAGGAGCUGUCUCUCCAGGGUCAGCAAGGCACCAGGUAUCAAAGGAUCAGAAUGCAGUCGACAGAGGACUUGGUGAACACACUGGUCAAGUUUUUCCUUCAUUUUUUGCAAAACCAUCCAAGAUGCACACUGGUAGAAACCAAGCC